rnacentral:rRNA from 1 species
AAUGAACGUUGGCGGCGUGGAUUAGGCAUGCAAGUCGAGCGAGAAUCCGUCUUCGGACGGAGGACAGCGGCGAACGGGAGAGUAACGCGUGGAGUACCUGCCUCAAGGUCCGGGAUAGCUGCGGGAAACUGUGGGUAAUACCGGAUAACGUCUAAGGACCAAAGGUGUGAUUCCACCUUGAGAUGGUUCCGCGUCCUAUUAGCUUGUUGGUGAGGUAACGGCUCACCAAGGCGACGAUGGGUACCGGGUGUGAGAGCACGACCCGGCUCACUGGGACUGAGACACUGCCCAGACACCUACGGGUGGCAG